rnacentral:sRNA from 1 species
UAAUACCAGGGUUCAAAGGUACAAAUCCGAUUGUGCUUGCACAAGAAGGAUUUGGAACUUGGAACCCGCAAACCACGAGCAUGCAGCGCUAUUGCGCGGAAUGAGAGUGGUUUAGGAUUACGUGAGCAUCGUUAGAUGCGUAGUAAUCCGUGGUAUUU